rnacentral:rRNA from 1 species
UUCGGAUUGAAGUUUUUGUGACUGAGUGGCGGACGGGUGAGUAACGCGUGGGUAACCUGCCUCAUACAGGGGGAUAACAGUUAGAAAUGACUGCUAAUACCGCAUAAGCGCACAGUGCUGCAUGGCACAGUGUGAAAAACUCCGGUGGUAUGAGAUGGACCCGCGUCUGAUUAGCUGGUUGGUGGGGUAACGGCCUACCAAGGCGACGAUCAGUAGCCGGCCUGAGAGGGUGAACGGCCACAUUGGGACUGAGACACGGCCCAAACUCC